rfam:Myotis brandtii contig191152, whole genome shotgun sequence.
GGUGGUUCUCGGGUGACGCAUCCCAGAAUUGAGCUCCCUCCUCUCUAGUUCCAGGUGCGUCAGCCAAGAACCACA